rnacentral:rRNA from 1 species
AUUGAACGCUGGCGGCAUGCCUUACGCAUGCAAGUCGAACGGCAGCACGGGUGCUUGCACCUGGUGGCGAGUGGCGGAACGGGUGAGUAAUACAUCGGAAUGUACCUUGUAGUGGGGGAUAGCUCGGCGAAAGCCGGAUUAAUACCGCAUACGCUCUGAGGAGGAAAGCGGGGGACCUUCGGGCCUCGUGCUACAAGAGCAGCCGAUGUCAGAUUAGCUUGUUGGUGAGGUAAAAGCUCACCAAGGCGACGAUCUGUAGCUGGUCUGAGAGGACGACCAGCCACACUGGGACUGAGACACGGCCCAGACUCCUACGGGAGGCAGCAGUGGGGAAUUUUGGACAAUGGGCGAAAGCCUGAUCCAGCAAUGCCGCGUGUGUGAAGAA